UGGCUGAAGGACUCGGCUGCCAUUUCACUGAGAUGGGGCAUCUUGGAAGAAUCAGGUAUUGGGGGCAGAAUCCCAUGUUGAGUUUGAAGUGUCUUUUAGACAUGCACAUGGAUGAGAUCCCAAGUGGAAGCUGGAAACAUGUCUGGAUGAGAAUGUAAACUGGUUUUCAGAAUGGACAGCCAAAAGUGGGUGGGGUCACCCAGGGAAUCAACAUGGAGAAGGAGGGAUUCAGCCCUAAGCCCUGUUGGCCACUCCUCCCAAUGGGAAAGUGGAAGAUGGAACAAAGAAGGCUGAGAUGGGACAGUCAUGGAAGAGAGGCAGAAGCCAAGACCAAGUUUUAGGAAAGAAGAGCAGAUGGUGUUUCUAAGCAGAGGGAGAAGCAAGAGUAAAAGGCCAGAUGCUGCUGAGAAGUUCGGCAAGAUGGGGACUGGAUGGACCCUCUGGCUUAAAUCACUAUGAUGUCACCAUGAUGGCAACAAAGGGAAUUUGGUGGCGUGAGGAUUACAAAGGCAGGAUCACUGAAACAUACUUAAAAACACACCCCAUCCCUCCUGCUGCUCCAUUAUUCUGGGUAUUGAGUUACACUCUUUAGUGUAAUACACUGUAAGCCUCAACCUACUACUUCCAGAGGCCAUCAAGACACUCAUAAUAUUUUCAUGGUGUAAGUGCUACCUGGUCCUAUUUAUUUUGAAGCUUCCAAGGGACACAAUCCCUACCUCUGCGAUUCUACCUGUAGAAGACAAAGAAAAUACUCGGGCUUGAUUCCCAGGCCGUGGGUCACCUUAGCAUGGUUUGAUCUAUCUUUUGAUGGAACUGUCUGUUGACAAGAUUGGGGAAUUUUGGUAAGGAAAAAAAAAAGUUUCCUCUUUUCGCUAUUUCGUGGCAGCAGAUUUGGAUUUAAAACACUGUAUUUAAGAACUGGGAUUUAAUCCUUCCUCUGCCAAAGCGAGGGCAACCAUCCCACUGGGGCAACACAUGGCACUUCCAUGAAACAAGCCCCACUGCUUUUGUGCUUGCAUGUCUGGGGUGUGCUGGACUCCAUUGGAGGAUGUAGGGAUAGGACAGGAGACCUUGAUCCUGUCCUCAUAUUCUCAUGGUAAAUGUUAGAGGACAAAGGUACCAACAAACAAGUUCAUCUCAGGAGAUGUAUGGACUUCACAGCAGAAUAUCAUGUCAGAGGAGGGCUGCGGCCACUGCCUGCCCCAAAGUGGCCUGGGAAGGACCCCAGAGGGAGUGAUGAUAGAUGACAAAAUGGCAAUCGAGGAAAGGUUUCAAGAAGGAGCUGCCUGAGGGUAGAAGCAACAGAGACCCUUGACUGAGUCUGGAUUUAAUUUGAGGUACAGUGAGAGAAACGUGGGAUUUAUUUGGUUCUCCCAAAAUGGCACAAAGUCUGUGGGCAGUGGGUAGUGUGAGAAGAUGGCUGAAGAACUGUUGUAAUGCCCCAGACGCAGACUAGAAAUUUAAGUGGAGAUGGCCAAAAGUGGCUGGACAUGGGACAUUCUACAGAUGGACAGUCUGCUGGAUCUGGGCAUGAGACAAAAAGAGAAAUCAAGGAUGAAAUCCUGCAUUACUGGCCAGAGAAACUGAGUGGACAGCCAAGCCAUUGUGUUAGGUUGUGAGGCUUCAGCAGAGUGUAUUUCAGCCGUAUUUCAUUUAUGCUAAAUUUCAAAUAUUAACUAGAAACCUAAGUAAAGCAUCUUCCAAUAGUGGAUAAGUCCUGGUCAUUGAGAACAGAGCCCAAUCCAGGGAAUGGAGAUAACAUAUAAUGGCCUUACUUAGGGUAAGCAGUUUACUGAAGAGUAGAGGAGACCAAAGACAGCAAAUGAAGAGAUGUAGAAACAGGGGUCAUGGGAUCUUGGAGAAGGUAAUGUGUAAGAAUCAAGGCUGUAUCAGAAGCUGACAAGGUGUCUCUGAAGAUACCCCCGAAAAUGGACCACUGGCUUUGACAGAGGGUUCUCCUCAUAUAAAUGAAUCAGAAGAUACCAGCAUUCUAUUUAAGGGAUAGGAAGAGCUGCUUUGAUUCGGGAGAAUAUCCUAUUGUGCAGUUUUAAGGAGGAAAUUACUUUGGGAUAAGAAAUGUUGAGACUUGGCACCAGCAGCAGGAGGAUGUUUACCACAUUCCCUCUUCCAAAGGCACUCAAAACACCCUCGCUUGGUGUCCUCCAGGGAGUCUUUGAGUCAUUUUUACAUUUUUAUGACUCCAAUUACUUUUCCAUCAUGCUAACUAAGCGACUGAGUAUCUGCUGCGGCAGGGAAAAGGCUUUGGUCUUACACCCAAGAAGGAUAGUAAAGACUUCCCCACAACAUGGAAUGCCCUCGACCAAGACCCAAGCAUCGAGUUGAGGAGAAGACUCGUCAACUUCAGAAUUUUGUAAGACACUUAAUCCUACACCAAGAGGAACUGACGUGUGACUUGUAGCGCAGACUGCAAGAAAGAGCAGAAUUCUCUCCUGACUGUUCACAGAUACAGGUCAAGUAUUUCUUACCCAAAAUGCUAUGGACCAGAAGUCUUUCUGAUUUUGAAUUUUUUUUUUUCAGAUUUGGGAACAUAUGCAGGUACAUAAUGAAGUUAUCUGAGACCCAAGUCUAAACAUGAAACUUACUUUCAUUUCAUAUAUACCCUAUCCAGUUAGCAUGAAGGUCACAAUAUUUCUAACAAUUUUGUGCAUGAAACAAGGUUUCAUGGUAUGCAAUUUUCCAUUUGGAAUAUCAUGCUGGUGCUCAAAAAACUUCUGAAUUUGAAGCAUUUUGGAUUUUGGAUUAGAUAUGCUCAACUUGUUUUACUAAAGCAUUGAUGGUCAUGUACUGUGGAUAUAACCAGCCUCCUCCAUUUGGUAAACUGCGUAUUCCAACACAAGCACAAACACAAAAUGGCAGGGUGUUUGAUCACAUGCACCAUGACAAGCCAUCGUACAGGAUAAUCAGGGGGAAAAGCUGACUGCCAAUGACUUCCCAUUUUCUAAUGAAACUAAGUCAAAGCAGUGGUAAGAAUGAGCAGCUCACUCUGCCAAUGAAAAUCACUUUUUAUUCCUUGCAGAACAAGUGGGCCUGUUUGGAGAACACCAAUGAGCACAGAUAAGUCCUAACUCCAUUCAACCUGGGCUUUAAUUCUGCAGCAGGACUCUCACCAUACUGGGUUCGCACACCAGUAAGGCAAAGAUGUAGAUUUGGGGCAAAAGUAUGGCAAGUUUUCCUGCAAAAGACAUAGAUCAUUGAAAUGCUUAGGUUUCCAGCGCUCCUGAAAGGCUUUUUUGGAUCCUCCAAAAUGGAACAGGAAACGUGAAUUUAUAAGGAAGUCUCAAGAGAUGCAGAGUUUCCCUAAAGUACUGGACUUCCAUGGUUUUCGGUUUUACUUUUUUCUCUUCGAAACAAUAGGUAACUGAACUCCAGAAAUUGCAAGACAUAAUGCACGACACACUCACCUCUGUCUCAGGGCCUGCCUGGUACAGAACUUCACAGAGAAGUGUGGGAUCCAGGACCAGACGAUCAGAAGGUCCAUCCUUACCUUUGUCACCUUAACCUCAGUUACAGCAUUAAUCUCCAAGAUAAACAGAGAACACAGGAAACCAAAUAACCCAAUCAAUAAGUGGGUGAAGGAACUGAACAAACACUUCUCAGAAGAGAAGAAGUACAAAUGGUCAACAAAUAUGUGAAAAAAAUAAAAUGUUCACCACCUCUAGAAAUUAGUGAAAUGCAAAGCAAAACGACACUGAAAUUCCACCUCACUCUAGUCGGAACGACAAUUAUUAAGAAUACAAGUAAUAAUAAGUGUUGGUGAGGA